AUUGAACGCUGGCGGCAGGCCUAACACAUGCAAGUCGAACGAUUGGCGGACGGGUGAGUAAUGUCUGGGAAACUGCCCGAUGGAGGGUGAUAACUACUGGAAACUGUAGCUAAUACCGCAUACCAUCGGAUGUUCCCAGAUGGGAUUAGCUAGUAGGUGGGGUAACGGCUCACCUAGGCGACGAUCCCUAGCUGGUCUGAGAGGAUGACCAGCCAAACGUGAACUGAGACACGGUCCAGACUCCUCAGGGAGGCAGCAGUGGGGAAUAUUGCACAAUGGGCGCAAGCCUGAUGCAGCCAGGGCGCGUGUAUGAAGAAGGCCUUCGGGUUGUAAAGUACUUUCAGCGAGGAGGCGUUAAUCGCAGAAGAAGCACCGGCUAACUCCGUGCCAGCAGCCGCGGUAAUAC
rnacentral:rRNA from 1 species